GCUCAAUCGCAAGAAUAAUCUAAAAUAUAAUUAUUCAUACUUUGUGGGGUCCUUUCUAUUGGUGCCAGUUAUUGUUUUCUGUAGUUUUACUGCGAAAUUAUAAUUAAUAAGAAGUUAUUGGAUACACACCAAAAAUGAGUUGCAAGAACCGAUGGAGUACGAUCUCCAAAAUGGUUAAGAAGCACUGCCUGUUAAAGCUCAAAAAGUGAUAAUUCAGUUGGAAGUUCCUUAUUGGAAUGUGUUCCUAAUAAUGCUGACAAGAAUAUUAACUACGAGGUCUGACACGACACUAUUUAGAAUCAUUUGCCUCUUGCAUUACUCUUUCUAGUUUUAAUUGUGUGUGUAGAAGUGAAUGAGGCUCUCCAGUGGACAGCCGUAAACCUGUCUCAUCGUUACAAUAAACAACUUAACUGCAA